AAGCCCGAACUCGGGUGUUGACCCGAGUUUGCCUCUCUCCUCUCCUUGCUCGUCUUCUCCGGCGACUUCGCUAUGGAGCAACGCCGUCCGGUCUCCGUGCACCACCUAACCACCAUCGAUUUCUUCUCUCUUCAUUUUCUACAAAACCCAAUCCUUAAAUCCAUUGUUAGAGCUAGACCUGAAGAGAUCGGAUUCAAGGUUCUCAACUGUGUUCAUUGAUUUCUGGCGUGCUCCGGCAGCGACGACGAUAGCGAGGGUCUCCGGCGAAGGUUUCUGGCGUCUCCCUCCUCUUCUCGGCGUCUCCUCUUUCUCUUGGAGACUAAAAUGAACACGAAGGGAGGCUAGAAGGGCUGUUGUCGUUGUGUUGGAGGAAACCCAAUCCCAAAAUCCGGCAAGGAAGCUACUGCCGGCUAGAGGGGCUUGGUUUCUCGGUUGAAGUGAUAGGAACGGGAGCAGAAGAAGAACUUGAUCAUGGAGUAGUGAUUAUUGGUAAAAUAAAUUUGGGUGCGGAAUUUCGAAAGCAAGAAUUAGGGGUAUGCUGCUGUGUUAGUUUUGGGUAUUAGUAAUUGAUUCAUAGUUUGAAUUGUUGCUGAUAAUGGUUAUGAAUUUGAGGAAGGGCAGAAAGGAAUGUUGGACGAGCCAAGGAAGUGUAAUUGUAGCAAAGGUGGUUUGUGAGUGUAAAGAUAAAUUCUUGGGUGUAGAGAGUAAUCUGGUUGCAGCCCUUUCGCAAUUAAUAAUAAGGUGAAUCCCUUGGCUUCUAUUGUUACUCUAAAGUGUUUAGUGUUUUUCGAUUUGGAGUAUCUUGUAUUAGUAUUGAGAUGUUAAAGAAUGGGAAUUAAGGGAUUUGUUAUUC